ACCUGGCUCACACCGGUUUAAACUCAGAUCAUGUAAAAUUUUCAAGGUCGAACAGACCUAAUUUAUCAGCCUCUUCACCAAUAAUUAAUUUUAAUCCAACAUCGAGGUCGCAAUCUUUUAUUUCGAUAAGAACUCUAAAAAAAAUUACGCUGUUAUCCCUAAGGUAAUUUAAUCUUAUAAUCUUUACUUAAGGAUCAAAUAAUCAUAAAUAAAUGGUUGAAUACAAAAAAAGUUCAUUCAAUUUUUCCAUCACCCCAAUAAAAUAUUUUUUCAGUUAAAAAAUUAUAAAAAUCCUAAAUCUAAAUUAACUUGAAAAUAUAAAACUCUAUAGGGUCUUCUCGUCUUCUAUGUAUAUUUAAGCUUUUUAACUUAAAAAUAAAAUUCUAAUAAAUUUUUAUAGAGACAGUAAUCUUUUCAUCAAACCUUUCAUUCCAGCUUUCAAUUAAAAAACUAAUGAUUAUGCUACCUUUGCACGGUUAAUAUACCGCGGCCAUUUAAUUUUAUCAUCGGGCAGGUCAGACCUAAAAUUAUAAUCAAUAGGCC
rnacentral:rRNA from 1 species